GCUUGCAGCCUAGGCCUCCGGCCGGCGACGGGAGGCGGAAGUGCUGUGGGCCACCGCCUCCGUCCCGGCUGCGGCCCCUACUGGUUACAUAACUCCGUUGCGGGUUCCGCGCGGCCCCACUUCCGGCUCCCUGAAACCACAGGAUGCACUGAUCCCCACGACGCCGUCUGCUGCCGCCGGCUCCCGCCCGAGGUGUGAAUGACAGAGGUGGUGCCAUCCAGCGCCCUCAGCGAGGUCAGUUUGCGCCUCCUCUGCCACGAUGACAUAGACACCGUGAAACAUCUGUGUGGUGACUGGUUCCCCAUUGAGUACCCAGACUCAUGGUAUCGUGACAUCACCUCCAACAAGAAGUUCUUUUCCCUUGCUGCAACCUACAGGGGUGCCAUCGUGGGAAUGAUAGUAGCUGAAAUAAAAAGUAGGACCAAGAUACACAAGGAGGAUGGAGAUAUUCUAGCCUCCAACUUCUCUGUUGACACACAAGUUGCAUACAUUCUAAGUCUUGGAGUAGUGAAGGAGUUCAGAAAGCACGGCAUAGGUUCACUUUUACUUGAGAGUUUAAAGGAUCACAUAUCCACCACCGCCCAAGACCACUGCAAAGCCAUCUACCUGCACGUCCUCACCACCAACAACACAGCAAUAAACUUUUACGAAAACAGAGACUUUAAGCAGCACCACUAUCUCCCCUACUAUUAUUCCAUCCGCGGGGUCCUCAAAGAUGGUUUCACCUACGUCCUCUACAUCAAUGGCGGCCACCCUCCCUGGACCAUUCUGGACUACAUCCAGCACUUGGGCUCUGCUCUAGCAAACCUGAGCCCCUGCUCCAUCCCACACAGAAUCUACCGCCAGGCCCACAGCCUGCUCUGCAGCUUCCUGCCAUGGUCCAGCAUCUCCACCAAGGGCGGCAUCGAGUACAGCCGGACCAUGUGAUGCCAGCCAGGCAGCCUCCAAUAGGUUCCACCCCUUGGCGCCCUGUGGAGUCUGCCUUCCCGACCAUCUGACCUCAGCUGUCCUCUGCAGAGGAGCUGGCCCAUCAGCCUGUCCCAGCUGCAGGCCUGGUGCUACCCAGGCUCAGGAGCAGAGUGUUGUGGGGCAGGCGUGCCUGGUCUCUGACAGGUACGCCAGAGCAAACAGUGGGAAGAAGGGCAGCAGAACAGAGUGGGAUGACGGUCCUGAGAAAUGGAGGGUCUGGCUCUGCAACAGUGAAAACAGAAGGGCUUGGACGGGCACCUGCUCUGCCAAGGACUGAGGCUCUUCCAGCCCUUCUCGCUCUGGAAACCUCUGCCCCAUGCCCUGGCCUGGCCCUCGUGUGAUUGCACCAGCUCCAUGGGCCGGCUGGCGUGUGGCAGCGUUCACUGUGGUUUGUUUAUUCUGCUGCCCCAGGAGU